GUGCUGCUCCGCCGCCAAAGCUCGCGCGGGGGAAGCGGGGCUGUAGCUGGGCAGGGAGAGGGCGGACGAAAUCGGUAGCGAUCUCGGCUGCGGCGCUGCCGCAGCUGCCCGGCCCGCGGGGCGCGCCCUGACCCUUCAUCUUUGGGCAGGCUCGAGGGCGCGCGCACGGUUGGCGUUCUGGGGCCUCAAACUCCUGGGCCUUGACCGGGCAGGCCGCGUCUCCCCGGGUGUGAGUCCACCGGGACCCGGCCGCCGCCUAAGCGCGGGCGCCACAGAAGCGGCGGCGCCCGAAGACGCGCUCCUGGCUCGGCCCGACAGCCUCGCUUGGCCGCCAGUUCUUCUGCAGCCGAAGGCGGUAAAUACCUAGAAGUGGAAUUGCUGGGUCAUAUGGCAACAUUUCAUUUGUUGCAUUUCCAGUUUCCAAUACCAACUCACCUACAAAGAUUUUACCAAAAACCUUAGGACCAAUAAAUGUGAAUGUUGGACCCCAAAUGUAAACGAAGCAAAAAAGGAGAUAAAAAUGGGAAAGGCUUGAGACACUUUUCAAUGAAAGUGUGUGAGAAAGUUCAACGAAAAGGUACAACAUCGUACAAUGAAGUCGCUGAUGAGCUGGUGUCAGAGUUCACCAAUUCAAAUAACC
rnacentral:lncRNA from 1 species